GACCUCCUCCCAUCCCUGACUGGGAGCUGCUAAGCAGUUCUGGCUUCUCUUCCCUCUGAAGUCUGGCUACCGUACAAGAUUUAAUACCCACUCUAAAAGCACUACAGGUAUGCAUCUUCUACAGUCUAAGAGGAAUACUCACUUCCAGGACUGUCAGCAGACGUGCUGUUGUUCACUGUGGUGUUCACCGCUGUACCACAGGGCUAAAAGGGCAACAAUUUAAAAACAGUCCAUUCAUAACUUCCACACCGUUAAGCUUGGAAGCCUGCAAUUUUAUCAGAAACUAUUGAAAAGCACUGCCAAACUGGAUAAAGGAAGAAGCUACAUCCUACAAAAUUCAACACUUUGCCAUCUUAGCCAAUAAAAUUUUAGCUAAUAUAAGCAGAUAGAAAAAAGGAAUUGAAAUUAAUACAAGUAAUGAUGACAUGAUAGCACUAUGGUUUAUAUUUUAAAAAGAAUUUCCAAUAAAACUUAUUUGGA